CUGAUGAAGAAACUUCUCAAAUCUCACUAGAGAAGAUUUCUUAGCAAGAAUGUGGCCGGUCCCUGCCUUGCUUUGGUUCGCAGUGAGCAUUUCAUGUGACUCUUCACCGUCUAUCACUCAGAGGCCGCAGUCAGUAGCAAAACAGCUGGGCAGUAGUGUUUCUCUGGAUUGCAGUUUGGAAGGAUCUAGCGACCCUUAUUUCUACUGGUAUCGACAAAUGCCUGGGGGAUCAAUGGAGGUGCUUUUCUACUCUGUAAGCAAGGGCAACAUAGAAGAGGCAGGACCAAAGCACAUCCAAGCAUCAAGACCUGAGAACAACCAGUUCCUACUGAGCAUCUCCAGCCUAAUGACCAACGACACUGGGAUGUAUUUCUGUGCCUGGAGUCGCACACUAUGCCAGGCAAAUGCAGCUCCUUGACAAAAACCCCUCCUCCCUUUCCUGCUUGUGGCGGCAGGAGUGAAGCAGAGGGUAUGGGUCUCCUUUGAAGUGCCAGACUCCCAGCGCAGAAAAAAGACGAAGAGAAAAGUUGUUGCAGCUCAAUAUGGGAACCCAUGAUCUUGCCUUCUGCACAUGGCCUGCCAAGGGCCAUGUUGUUUACUGCCAGGGUUGCAGGAGUUUCAUACCACCUACUGCUUGAUCUUUUAAAGCUGGGCACAGCAGGGAUGGAAGCUGGGACCUUCUGCAUUCAAAGCAGAGACUCUGCCACUGAGCCCAGGACCCCAGUCUUCCUGUGACUUCUCCAUUAGAUUAAGUCUUUGACCUCUUUGAUGUGUCAGCGGCCAAGUAGUUGAGAAGCAAAGUGGCAUCUUCUCCAUGCUAAACCUGUUCAGUUUCUUCAACAUUUCCUGAUAGGUAUUGCCUACUCUGACUGACUGUUGUUUUCCAGGGUCUCCAGUAUAGAUCUUUCCUGCUGUGUGUGUCCUAAGUGCUGUCAAGUCACUUCUGUCUCAUGGUGACCCUAUGAAUCAGUGUCCUCCAAAAGGUCAUCUCGUUAACAACCUUGCCCGGAUCUU